rnacentral:antisense_RNA from 1 species
CUUCACCGACCCGAGCCACAACGGCUCGGCGCGGUCCUGCCCGUAGGCCGCCAGCAACGCCUGCGCCUC